rnacentral:tRNA from 1 species
GCCCCCAUCGUCUAGUGGCCCAGGAUACCUGGUUCUCAGCCAGGAGACGGGGGUUCGAUUCCCCCUGGGGGUA